rnacentral:rRNA from 1 species
GCGUGAGGAACCUGCCUCAAAGAGGGGGACAACAGUUGGAAACGACUGCUAAUACCGCAUAAGCCCACGGCUCGGCAUCGAGCAGAGGGAAAAGGAGCAAUCCGCUUUGAGAUGGCCUCGCGUCCGAUUAGCUAGUUGGUGAGGUAACGGCCCACCAAGGCGACGAUCGGUAGCCGGACUGAGAGGUUGAACGGCCACAUUGGGACUGAGACACGGCCCAGACUCCUACGGGAGGCAGCAGUGGGGAAUAUUGCACAAUGGGGGAAACCCUGAUGCAGCGACGCCGCGUGGAGGAAGAAGGUCUUCGGAUUGUAAACUCCUGUUGUUGAGGAAGAUAAUGACGGUACUCAACAAGGAAGUGACGGCUAACUACGUGCCAGCAGCCGCGGUAAAACGUAGGUCACAAGCGUUGUCCGGAAUUACUGGGUGUAAAGGGAGCGCAGGCGGGCGAUCAAGUU